rnacentral:lncRNA from 13 species
UGUAAAACUAAAUUGGCUAUACGUCAGGGGACUUUAUAGCCUGCUGGACUCUUUGGAUGAAUCUGAAAAGGGGGAAAUCUCCUACUUUCCUCCUUCUCCUGUAUGACCGAACAAGUCCUGCUUACGUCCCAUACAUUCAACUUCUGUCUGUUUCUGAACGUUUUUCCUCUGGACACUUCGUUCUAUGUAUUGCCCCAAUUUUGUAUUUAUUUGAUGAACUGUUUUUGUGGCGUCUUCCAGGAUGGAAUCGUGUUGAUGGAUAAAUGUGUAAACAGACAGACUGGCUCAAUUUAAAAUUAAACGCACACAAAUCAUCUGGCUUUUCUGUUAAUGUUGGAAUUUCCAGGUAUUGGUUGCUUUGAUGGGAUGGUAAGAUUCACCAUCUUUAUCCCCUCACUCCUUAGUCCACCCUCUGACCUCUAACCCCUGAUCCUGUAUACCUCCCCUAUGUCACUUUCAUUUUGCUCCUCUCCUUUUGUUGUUUUUCUCCCUUUCUCCCCUCUUUUUCUCUCUUGUCUCGUUGGGCUUUGCAUGUGGUUCUGCAGUGAAUUCUCUUCUGUAGUGGAGUGAAUUCUCUUCUGUGGAGUGUGGUAUGAGCCGGAGGUGUGGUAAGAUGAGUGGCAUGGGCGUGUGUGAUGCGUUGUGUGAUUGUUUCAGUGUGUGGUUGUGUACACGGCAGCUAAAUGAUAAGUAAAGAAUGUAAAUAUGAUUUAAGAUAAAAACAUAAAGUACUACUUCUAUCGGAAUAUUCUGUUAUAUUAUAGGCUAGUGUUAUGUAGGCGUGAGUAGUGUAAUUCACAUGCCCUGCGAAUACUCUUAUAUACUCUUACUUAUUUCGUGUUGUAAAGCUUACUCAGGCAGUGUUUCAAAGGCCCAUGCCAUCUUUACUGAUUCAUAUAUUUUUCUGUCUCUCUCUCUCUCUUUUUAAAAUGUAUUUCAGGUGAGGAAGCAGCAGCCUGGGGAGGAGAGGAGGAAGCAGAGGAGGCGGCUGAGGAGGGAGGAGAGGAGGAGGCAGCAGCAGAGGAGGCUGGAGAGGAGGCUGCAGUUGAGGAGGCUGUUGCGGCGGAAAACGGAGCAGAACCCGCGGAAGAGGCCUCAGUCGAGGCAGAAGCAGCGGCCGAGGCAGUCUCUGAAGAACCUGCUGUGGAGGCAGCGGCAGUAGAGGCAGAGGUGGCACCAGUGGAAGCGGAGACUGUGGUGGAGGAGAUUGCAGAGGCUGUUGCUGAGGUCGCAGAAGAGGUCAUCGAGGUGGCAAAUGAAGUGGAGGCAGCAGCAGAGGAAGUGGCCGUGGAAGAGGCUGCUGAGGAGGCAGUUGCCGUGGAAGAGCCGGAGGAGGAGAUCAACGUGGAACCAGUCAUUCUGGCAGCAGCCUCUGCUUUGGAGGUGACGACAGUCGCUGAAGUGGUCAAAGAAGUGGUUGUGCCUAUUGUAGAAGAAGUCGAGGAGGCCGCCCCAGUGGAGUCCCCAGCUGCAGUGGAGGAGGCCACAGCUGCAGUGGAGGAGGCCACAGCUGCAUUGGAGGAGGCCCCAGCUGCAGUGGAGGAGGCCCCAGCUGCAGUGGAGGAGGCCCCAGCUGCAGUGGAGGAGGCCCCAGCUGCAGUGGAGGAGGCCCCAGCUGCAGUGGAGGAGGCAACAGCUGCUCAACUUGAGGCUGCACCUGUAGAAGAGGCCCCGGCUGCAGUGGAGGCGGCCCCGGCUGCAGUGGAGGAGGCCCCGGCUGCAGUGGAGGAGGCCCCAGCUGCAGUGGAGGAGGCCCCAGCUGCAGUGGA